CAAACUGUUAUCAAAGCAACGGAAACGGGCAGUGGUGGCCUGUUUCAGAAUGGCCCCUCUCUACAACCUGCCCAGGAAUAGAAAUUGGAAUCCUUGGCCUAUGGAGCUAUUGCAGUCUGCAUAGUAUAAGGGCCUGGCUAAGA
rnacentral:sRNA from 1 species